GCGCGGAGGGCGCUUAUGAAUCGAAGAGUCAUAAUUAGGAUGAGCCCGACAACAUACCACAGAGCAAAGCGAUGUGGUGAUAUCCGAG
rnacentral:sRNA from 1 species